UACGUAGGGGCAAGCGUUGUCCGGAAUCAUUGGGCGUAAAGAGCGCGUAGGCGGUCCGAUAAGUCGGUUGUGAAAACUGGGGGCUCAACCCUCAGAGGCCGACCGAUACUGUCGGGCUAGAGUCCGGAAGAGGCGAGUGGAAUUCCUGGUGUAGCGGUGAAAUGCGCAGAUAUCAGGAGGAACACCGGUGGCGAAGGCGGUUCUCUGGGCCUGUACUGACGCUGGAGGAGCGAAAGCGUGGGGAGCGAACAGG
rnacentral:rRNA from 1 species